UGGACCGAGAAUAUGGGUUGGUGGUGCAUGUAUAAGGAAGGGCGUUAGGGGAUGGCAAAUAAGAGCAUGCGGCUCAGUCUUAAGACAAAAGACUAUAACUGAAAACAGAUUCCUUACCUACGGCUUACAAAGAUUUUUUACCCACGGCUUACACAUGUCUUGACAAAGACAAAGAUUUAUUACCCACGGCUUACAAGUCUUAAAGACCAAAGACUUUUCUGUUUUCAGUUAUUUGAACGGUACAGUUUGAGAAAGUCCUAAGACAAGGACUAUAACUGAAAACAUUGUCCCUUGCUGCCUCUAAAAGAAACUUAUGCCAUCCCCUAAUGGACCGAGAAUAUGGGUUGGUGGUGCAUGUAUAAAGAAGGGCGUUAGGGGAUGGCAAAUAAGAGCAUGCGGCUCAGUCUUAAGACAAAAGACUAUAAAUGAAAACAGAUUCCUUACCCACGGCUUACAAAGAUUUUUACCCACGGCUUACACAUGUCUUGACAAAGACAAAGAUUUAUUACCCACGGCUUACAAGUCUUAAAGACCAAAGACUUUUCUGUUUUCAGUUAUUUGAAUGGUACAGUUUGAGAAAGUCCUAAGACAAGGACUAUAACUGAAAACAUUGUCCCUUGCUACCUCUAAAAGAAACUUAUGCCAUCCCCUAUAGCAAGAUUGUUAAAUGGACCGAGAAUAUGAGUUGGUGGUGCAUGUAUAAAGAAGGGCGUUAGCCCUAUAGCAAGAUUGUUAAAUGGACCAUGAAUAUGAGUUGGUGGUGCAUGUAUAAAGAAGGACGUUAGGGGAUGGCAAAUAAGAGCAUGCGGCUCAGUCUUAAGACAAAAGACUAUUUGAAAACAGAUUUCUUAUCCACAUCUUACAAAGAUUUAUUACCCACGGCUUACACAUGUCUUGGCAAAGAUUUGUUACCCACGGCUUACAAGUCUUAAAGACCAAAGACUUUUCUGUUUUCAGUUAUUUGAAUGGUACAGUUUGAGAAAGUCCUAAGACAAGGAUUAUAACUGAAAACAAUGUCCCUUGCUGCCUCUAAAAAAAACUUAUGCCAUCCCCUAAUGGAUCGAGAAUAUGGGUUGGUGGUGCAUGUAUAAAGA
rnacentral:lncRNA from 1 species